AUUGAACGCUGGCGGCAGGCCUAACACAUGCAAGUCGAGUGAGCGGCGGACGGGUGAGUAAUGUCUGGGAAACUGCCUGAUGGAGGGGGAUAACUACUGGAAACGGUAGCUAAUACCGCAUACCAUCGGAUGUGCCCAGAUGGGAUUAGCUUGUUGGUGGGGUAACGGCUCACCAAGGCGACGAUCCCUAGCUGGUCUGAGAGGAUGACCAGCCACACUGGAACUGAGACACGGUCCAGACUCCUACGGGAGGCAGCAGUGGGGAAUAUUGCACAAUGGGCGCAAGCCUGAUGCAGCCAUGCCGCGUGUAUGAAGAAAGCCUUCGGGUUAUAAAGUACUUUCAGAGAGGGGGCGUUGACCGCAGAAAAGGCACAGGCUAACUCCGUGCCAGCAGCCGCGGUAAUAC
rnacentral:rRNA from 1 species